rnacentral:rRNA from 1 species
UGGGGAAUAUUGGACAAUGGGGGGAACCCUGAUCCAGCCAUGCCGCGUGUGUGAAGAAGGCCUUAUGGUUGUAAAGCACUUUAAGCGAGGAGGAGGGUACUGGUAUUAAUACUACCAGGUACUGGACGUUACUCGCAGAAUAAGCACCGGCUAACUCUGUGCCAGCAGCCGCGGUAAUACAGAGGUUGCGAGCGUUAAUCGGAUUUACUGGGCGUAAAGCGUGCGUAGGCGGCUAAUUGAGUCGGAUGUGAAAUCCCCGAGCUUAACUUGGGAAUUGCAUUCGAUACUGGUUAGCUAGAGUGUGGGAGAGGAUGUUAGAAUUCCAGGUGUAGCGGUGAAAUGCGUAGAGAUCUGGAGGAAUACCGAUGGCGAAGGCAGCCAUCUGGCCUAACACUGACGCUGAGGUACGAAAGCAUGGGGAGCAAACAGG